rnacentral:rRNA from 1 species
UACGUAGGUGGCAAGCGUUGUCCGGAUUUAUUGGGCGUAAAGAGCGUGUAGGCGGUCCGGUAAGUCCGCUGUGAAAGUCCAGGGCUCAACCCUGGAAUGCCGGUGGAUACUGCCGGGCUAGAGUCCGGAAGAGGCGAGUGGAAUUCCUGGUGUAGCGGUGAAAUGCGCAGAUAUCAGGAGGAACACCGAUGGCGAAGGCAGCUCGCUGGGACGGUACUGACGCUGAGACGCGAAAGCGUGGGGAGCAAACAGG